rnacentral:rRNA from 1 species
UACAGAGACUGCAAGCGUUAUUCGGAUUCACUGGGCGUAAAGGGUGCGCAGGCGGUUGGGUGUGUCAGAUGUGAAAUCCCGAGGCUCAACCUCGGAACUGCGUCUGAAACUACUCGACUAGAGUACUGGAGAGGGUAACGGAAUUCACGGUGUAGCAGUGAAAAUGCGUAGAUAUCGUGAGGAACACCAGAGGCGAAGGCGGUUACCUGGACAGUUACUGACGCUCAGGCAACGAAAGCAUGGGGAGCAAAAGGG